rnacentral:rRNA from 1 species
UACAGAGGGUGCGAGCGUUAAUCGGAUUUACUGGGCGUAAAGCGCACGUAGUCGGCUUUGCAAGUCGGGUGUGAAAUCCCCGGGCUCAACCUGGGAACUGCAUCCGAGACUGCAUUGCUAGAGUAUGGGAGAGGGAAGCGGAAUUUCUGGUGUAGCAGUGAAAUGCGUAGAUAUCAGAAGGAACAUCAGUGGCGAAGGCGGCUUCCUGGACCAAUACUGACGAUCAGGUGCGAAAGCGUGGGGAGCAAACAGG